GGAGAGGUCGCAUAGUGGCCUAGUGCGCGCGCUUGGAAAGCGCGUAUACCGAAAGGUAUCGCGGGUUCGACUCCCGCCCUCUCCGCCA
rnacentral:tRNA from 1 species